rnacentral:lncRNA from 1 species
UGAGGGGGAAGGUGUGAAUUUCGGGAGUCCUGGCCUCACAAGUCCCACCCUUCCGACAGGAGCUUAGAGUCCAGCCCUCUGCCUCUUUUCUCCAGCCAUAUCUAUGAGUCUGAGGUGUCCAACUAUUUACUCCCUUGAGGACCCAGCAUUAUUCAAGUCCUCCUGCCUGCAGGACCAGCAGUCCGGGACCCCAGCCCUUUCUUCUCCGAGACCCAGGAGACCAAACUCUCAGAUGAACAAUCAUGGUGAAAGAGAAGCCCAGCCGGCAGCCAGCACCAAUCGCCAGCUGUGUGAGUGUGGCCAUCCUGGAUCAUCCAGCCCCAGCUGCCCCACCAGCUGACAGCAGCCACACAAGUGACCCCAGUUGAGACCAAUAAAAGAUCUGCCCAUCUGAUACAGCCCAAACUGCUGAACCCCAGAAUCAUGAACAAAUAAGUAAAAGAAAAGAACACUGGUUGUAUUUUAUGGUUGCACUAUGUCCAGCAGAAAAAGGCAUUCCUCAGUCUCCUUGCAGCAAGGUAAAGCCAUCUGAUAAAAUUUUGUCCAGUUGGAUAUAAGCCAAAAUGUUGCGUGACAAUUUUGGGAGGACUUCCUGAAACAGGUGGACAAACCCUUUUUCUACUGAGUCACCUUUGUGCCACCUGGAACUAACAGUGUGACGCGUGGAAUUUAGGCAGCCAUAUUGAACCAUGAGGACAAGAGCAGUGGGGAUGGCGGAACCAAGAGCUGGAAGGUGCCUGAGUCUCUGGUGAAGAUGUGGAGCUGCUGUAACAGCCCUCAACUCCUAGUUCUGGACUUCUUUUAUGUUUUAGUGUAACGCUUUGGGUAUUUUUAUUUUUUUAAUUUAUUUUAGAGAUGAGGUCUCACUAUGUUGCCUAGGCUGGACUCAAACUCUUAUGCUCAAGCAGUCCUCCUGCCUCAGCUUCAUGAGUAGCUGAAACUAUAGCACUUUGGGUAUUUCAGCCACUGUUUGAGGUUUUUCUAGCACCUCCUGGAAUAUCAAGCUUAACAUGUCCAAUCCUUGCCCCAGAUAUUUUCCUCCCCAAAUUUUCUCAAUCUCAAUAAAUGUCACCACCAUCCACCUGGUUGCUCAGGUCAAAAACCUAGAAAUCAUUCAAGUUCUCUCCCUUUCCCUCAUCCCCAAUAUCCAUUCCAUCAGCAACAUCUGUCCAUUCUACCUCCAAGACAUAUCCCAGAUCUCAUCACCUUUGUCUGCCUCUCCUACCCUCACUCUCAUCCAGCAUCAUCCCUCACCUGGACUCUGCAAAAGCCUACUCGUGGGUCUGUCUGCAUCCCUGUCUGCCUCCUCCAGGGCCAUUCUCCACCCAGUGGCCGGAUCGAUUUUUCAAAGAGGUAAAUCAGAUCAAUUCACCUUUCUGCUUAAAACCCUCCGAGGGCUGCCCGUAACAUGUAGAAUAAAAUAGAGACCCCUUCCCGGGGACUUCAAGGUGCUAUAUGGCCUGGCCCCUUGCUGACCUUACUUCACUCUGGGCUCGCUAGCCUUGCUGUCCCUCAAACAUGCUGAGCUCGCUCCCACCACAGGGCCUUUUCCCUUUUCUUCCUUCUGCCUGGAAUGUUCUUCUCCCCACCUCCCAAGCCCCAUCUUCCCAGGGCUGACUCCUGUUCCCAUUUGGGUCUCAAAUCAUAUCAGUACCUUCUCAGAGAGGCCUUCCCUCACUGCUCAUCCCUUCACCUUUAGAACACUUUCUUUUCUUUUAAGAGACAAAGUCAGCCCAGUGCGGUGGCUCACGCCUGUAAUACCAGCACU